rnacentral:rRNA from 1 species
CCUACGGGGGGCAGCAGUGAGGAAUAUUGGUCAAUGGUCGGGAGACUGAACCAGCCAAGCCGCGUGAGGGAUGAAGGUACAGAGUAUCGUAAACCUCUUUUGUCAGGGAACAAAGGCGGGGACGUGUCCCCGGAUGAGUGUACCUGAAGAAAAAGCAUCGGCUAACUCUGUGCCAGCAGCCGCGGUAAUACGGGGGAUGCGAGCGUUAUCCGGGUUUAUUGGGGUUACAGGGUGCGCGGGGGGCCUUUUAUGUCAGCGGUGAAAGCCCGGGGCUCAACCCCGGCCCGCCGUUGAAACUGGCAGUCUCGAGUGGGAGAGAGGUAGGCGGAAUGCGCGGUGUAGCGGUGAAAUGCAUAGAUAUCGCGAAGAACUCCGAUUGCGAAGGCAGCAUGCCGGCUCCACACUGACGCUGAGGCACGAAAGCGUGGGUAUCGAACAGGAUUAGAUACCCUAGUAGUC